rnacentral:lncRNA from 10 species
GCAGCGCGGGGCCGAUCCGACUCACUGCAGGCCCUGGCGACCGAGCGCAGUCUUCCUCCCCGGAGCCGAGCCCCAACCAAGCGCGUCACCUCCUCGCCGCCAGUGCCCAGCCCAGCGCGCCGCCCCUGCGCGCUUCCGCCGGCAACCCCUCCCGCCCCCCUCAGCCCUGCUCCGCGCCUCCCCCGGGCCCGCAGCUCCUCCCACCGCAGCCCGCUGACACCGAAGCGCUCUCGACCCCUGACCUCUAACCUCCGCCCGGCUCUUCUUGCUUCGUCCCUCGCCCCCUCCCCGCCAAGCUGGUCGCACUGUUGCCGUUUCACUGCGGCUGACGGAAGGCCAAGGAAGAAAGAGGGUAGAGACGCUGUCGCGAGGAUCAGGCUGCCCUCUCCUUUCCCAGGGACCGUGUUGGGGCCUUCUGACCACCCCGCCCCGCAUCCUGCGCCUCGGAGGCCCAACGUAGCCCAAGACACCCAUGGUCUUGAUGCUCUCCGCCUCUGUCCCAGCCACCAAAGUCCCCGCGAUGGAAUGGAGGACGGGGUGGCCUUGGGCAGAGAAGCGCUUCUUGUGCCGGAUGGAAGGAAACCGUAGCUCUGGCUGUGUUCAUCGCGAAAUGUUUUAUGGAUGUGGAGUGGGUGGGUGGCCCUGAAAAGUCAUUAGUUAAAGCCUUUGCUCGUCAUUGCUCUGGGGUCCACAUAGGAAAUGCCCGUGUCCUGCCUCAUGACCCCCUUCAGGCAGCCUCCAUGCCUGUCUGGAUGAUGUAAAGAGAUCUUGAGGCAGAAAUGAAAGGUGAAUGACACACCUGCCCUGGACACCUGUGCACCUUCCCAGUUCCAGAUCAGGCAGUACCUAGCUCAACUGAGAAAAACAAGACAAGGGCCUAUGUGUGUCUCAGGAAAGGUUAAAAGCUCAGUGCCAAUGCAAGGGAUUUUUACAAGCAAAAGUCUCAUUAUUAAUGAGGCCAGAAAACCAAAAUGACAAUGAUCUUUGAUGAUCUGUACUGACACGCAGGGGAGGUGAGUUAAUCAGAAACACACAUUUACUGGCACCCCCUUUGUGCCCAGUCCCUGCUCCUCGAAACUGAUGUUUGUAUUUCAGAGUUUAGCUGUCUUUGAGUUUGCUGCAGUGAAAAGAAAUAUCCCAAGUGUGACUGGGAAGAGAAGACCCGGGACAGGCCAGAAACUGGAGUGAGGAAGAAAGAACCACAGAAUAUUAAUGUAAUGAAUAACUUUCAAGUCCUAUCUGGUCCGUGUCCUGGCAAAGUCCCUUGGGGUCUCUCCCCUGCUUUCCGUUCAUCAGGAUGACUGAGCUCAGUAAUUGUAACAAAGGGAGUGUAGUAGGCAAGGGGACAAAACCCAUAGUAUCCCACCCCUGAUUGACUUAUUAACUCAAUGAACACUUAUUGAAUACCUACGAUAUGCCAGAAGCAGUUCCGGGUACUGGAAAUACAUCAGUGAAUAAAACAGCCACUCAUCCUAGUAAAUCUGCCCAACUGGUGCUUCCACUCUGCGGUGCUUGUGGAUAGUGA